GCACAAAAACAAAAUCCAAGCUAUGCACCCAACCUCAGUGGUUGUUCUUGUCUUCAUCAAGCAAGUUUUCAGGGAGAUUUGGUAGCAGUGAAACAAUUGUUGGACAAGGGGAUUGAUGUUAAUGUGGAAGGAUCUGGUGGUCUCACUCCCUUGCACCUUGCUUGCUUAGGAGGUCACUUGAAUGUUGUGGAGAAGCUUAUAAGCUGUGGUGCAAACCUAAUAGCACAAGAUAGACUCAAAUU